rnacentral:rRNA from 1 species
CUGAGAGGAUGACCAGCCACACUGGAACUGAGACACGGUCCAGACUCCUACGGGAGGCAGCAGUGGGGAAUAUUGCACAAUGGGCGCAAGCCUGAUGCAGCCAUGCCGCGUGUAUGAAGAAGGCCUUCGGGUUGUAAAGUACUUUCAGCGGGGAGGAAGGGAGUAAAGUUAAUACCUUUGCUCAUUGACGUUAUCCGCAGAAGAAGCACCGGCUAACUCCGUGCCAGCAGCCGCGGUAAUACGGAGGGUGCAAGCGUUAAUCGGAAUUACUGGGCGUAAAGCGCACGCAGGCGGUUUGUUAAGUCAGAUGUGAAAUCCCCGGGCUCAACCUGGGAACUGCAUCUGAUACUGGCAAGCUUGAGUCUCGUAGAGGGGGGUAGAAUUCCAGGUGUAGCGGUGAAAUGC